UCCAUGGGUCCAACAUGGUCUGAGGUAUUUUUUGUUUUCAUCUCUCAAAGUUUUAUCUGUAGUCAUGGUAGAGAUGUGAAAUUUAAAAAAAAUCAUUUUAACAGAAUAUGUGACUAUGCUUAGUUACAAUCUACCCAGAUCCAAGAUAAACUGUAGAUAGACUGAACAUUUCCAGCAUCAUUUUCUGAGUUAGUCAACCUUAUAUUGGUACAUUCAUCCUGUUCGAAGUGUAAGAAAUUGUUGCAAGAGGUUUAGAUCUUAGAAACAGCCUUUGUCGUGUACAUGAUUCAGCACAAACUAAACACUGUUCAUCUGUAACGGAUCAACAUGGAGAUGCAGCGAUAUAGGAAUGAGACUUUGUGUUUCAUUGUACCAGGAAUUUAUUUGUUUCCAUUUUGAUGUAGCUUCAUAUAUCUGAGCAUAUUAGUAGUAGUGGACUUCGUCUUCCAACAUUGUCACUAUUUCAGGAUUAAUGUCUCGGAACUUAUGUCUGGGAACAUGCUGUUAAUCCCUGCAGUCAUCGUGUGUGGGCAUUGCUUGUGGUUAGGCUAUCACGAUGUACAUACUUUCAGUGGUGAUACUUAAAACAUGUGCUUUGUAUCAUGAUACAAAUUUUAUGUUUUUGUAUGCAAUCCUCCUGACAAGAUUGUUGCAAUCAACAGCUUUUUUGUUUAUAUGCAUAUUGGGAAAAUUUGGGCUUUUAGACAGUAUUAUGCAAAUAAAUUAGCUUUUCGUUUCCUGACAAGUGUAAAGGUGAUGCUAGCUGAUUAUUGCAAAACUUUGUGUGUAUUACUUUUGGAAAUUGAUGCAGAACUAAGUCAUGAAUCAGUACAUGGAUAGGUGUAUUAUGUAUCAAAGUGUCAGGUGUUAAUUUGCAGUCAGGAUGUAUCUUGUUGUGGCAUGUAUGUUUACCCAUGUUUACAGUUAUUUCACGAACACUCACCUUACAAUUGAUCGGAAUCUCAAUUGCAAAGUUAUAGUUUUGUUGAGUUAUAAUUUUCAGUAAUAAUUGUUAUUAAACAGAUGGUGGCUUUCAAAACACCAACUUAAAUGUUGGCCUCAUCCAUUUAAGACUAUAUGUUGUAGUAUUCAUAAACUUCUUAAGUGGUGUUUGAUCAAGAUGAAUUGUUACCAUGGUAACUGUAAGUAUUGUAGCUGUGGACUGUUUAAUGAAUGCUUGACUGACUUGCCACUAGAGUGUUCAUGUGAGUGGUGGAUGUACACGUACAGGGCCCACUUGCACAAAGCGAUCUUAGCUCUACAAUGACCGUAACUCCCAUACUCUAACACAUUCUAAAGAUGGUCUUAGAGCUAAGAACACUUUGUGCAAGUGGCCUGAGGGCCACAUCCCACAGAGCAAUUGAAGCACUAGGGUAUCGUAAGCCUGUGUUAAAGUAUGUUAGUUACGAUCACCUUAGUGAUAAGAUCACUUGUGCAAGUGGCCUGAGGGUCACAUCACACAGAGCAGUUGAAGCACUAGGGUAUCGUAAGCCUGUGUUAAAGUAUAUUAGUUACGAUCACCUUAGUGAUCAGAUCACUUGUGCAAGUGGCCUGAGGGUCACAUCACACAGAGCAAUUGAAGCACUAGGGUAUCAUAAGCCUGUGUUGAAGUAUGUUAGUUACGAUCACAUUAGUGAUAAGAUCAUUUGUGCAAGUGGCCUGAGGGCCACUUCCGAAAAGCAAUUGAAGCACUAGGGUAUCGUAAGCCUGUGUUAAAGUAUAUUAGUUACGAUCACCUUAGUGAUAAGAUCACUUGUGCAAGUGGCCUGAGGGUCACAUCACACAGAGCAAUUAAAGCACUAGGGUAUCGUAAGCCUGUGUUAAGUAUGUUAGUUACGAUCACCUUAGUGAUAAGAUCACUUGUGCAAGUGGCCUGAGGGUCACAUCACACAGAGCAAUUGAAGCACUAGGGUAUCGUAAGCCUGUGUUAAAGUAUAUUAGUUACGAUCACCUUAGUGAUAAGAUCACUUUAUGGAGCAUGGCCCAGAGGAGCGCUUUACGCACAGGGCAUCUUGCAGCUGUUGAACAAGAGAACAUCUCAAAUGUUUCAUUCAGACAUUGAAGUGUGUACUUAACCUAUUCUUUGUUCUGACCAAAUUGAUCUGGUCUAUUAUUUUCAAAGUUUCAUGUAAGUUUAUUGAGAUAUUUUCCUCACAUAUGGUUACACCGUCACAUCUGAACAAUGUUAUUUUACAUUUUAGUUUAUGUUUUCAUUCCUGUAUUGUUUUCCCAUUGCUUUCAUAAUUAAACUUUAUGAACUACUUUUGACAUAUUUUUAGACUGCUUUCAUUUGGUAGAAGCAGGGGGUUGUUACACUUUGACAUAUUUACUGUGUUUUGUGUUUGAUUCGUUUAACAACUAGCACAGAAUAUCUUUUUCAACAAAAUAAGUGAAAUGGUUGUGAAAUAUUUCCGUUUCCUGUGACAUACAUGUAAGAGUAAUGCAACACAAAUUAUACAACUGUUCAAAGUGAACCUACCCUCAGUUACGGAUAUUGAACUGAGCAUCCUAAAUUAUCCACUGUUUUUAUCUGAUCUAUUAUGUUGAAUAUUUAAGCCCCGUUCUCCAUAGAUUUGUUCAGGAAAUGAUAUCACUGUCCUUUCUUAUCUUCUCUUUCUGAUCAUAUUCAAAGCAACGACCAAUCAGAACAUCUUUUCAUGCAAGAUCUACAGUCAAAAUCUCUGUUGUGCAAUGCUCUAGUCUAUUUGUAUGAAUCCAGAGGCUGUCUUGAAAGAGUUUUUAGAUGGAGAAGAUAUUUUUAUUCGUAUUAAAACAAGAAGGAAGUCCAUAGACGUUUGAGAAGAAAUUGUGAGGACAGGCAACGUGAGUACUUGUGAUAUCAUUGCUGUGGUAUCAACAUUGGAAUUUCAUAGGAUAUCUGUUUUCACCAUCACGUCACUGGAAGCAGACUCCAGACAAAGGUAUUCAAAUAUCAAGGGUGUUUAUCAUAAUGGGCUGGAUCUGUAAUAUGGUACAUGAAUGAAGAUGUGAAUUAUGGUGCUAUGGUAGAAGGUUCAGUAGAAGCAGCCUAAUGAGACAACCUUUGGCAGCAUACUGUCGAGGUAAACGCACAUAUUACAGGUAUCUCCUGGACC